CCCUCCUCUCACUCCUCAUCUCGCUGUCUCGUGGAUGCGCUUCUCUUUUCUGGCGCGCUGGCUGGAACAGCCAUAGCUCUCUGUACACUUCUGUCUGACUGCCUUGUUUGGAGAAUGGCGCCUUCAUCAGAGACAGAGUUUACUGAAACUCAGCAAGAGGCCAACCGGCUCACAGACAGAGGAGGAUGAACAGCCAAUCAGACACAUGGAUAAAUCAUCAAGAUGGAUGCCGAGGGAUGGAGUGGGUGGUGGGACGAACGGAUCCGGGCUGCUCGCUGGCUGAACCCAAGACCUAGCGCAGCUCAUCAUCAUUGCCACAGGCUCUUGUCUUCCUCCUCUCCCUCCUGUGGCCCCUACACCCUCCAUCUGAGGGUCUCUCGCACAGCCAGUGAAGCCCAAAACAGGGAGCGAGUGAGUGGGCUUGGGAGGAUGCAGAGGUUCCCUGAUGGCUAACCAGCACCUCUGGAGCUACCAGCGUGGAAGGAAAAAAAAAAAAAAUCAAUACGGAGAGAGAGACGGGAAAAAGAAAACCACCACAACAAC